GGCACUUUUUAUUGUCAAAAAUUGUUUUGUCUUUUCAUAUAUAAACCAUUUCAAUAUCUUUCAACAAUAAUAUCGCUGUUUGCUCGAUCAUUUGCAUAGGAUAUGUCAACAUAAAAAAAAAAAAAUAAGGAGAGGGAAGGAAAAAAGAGAGGUCUGAAGGGAAGCAGCAAAACAGCAACCAAUACGCUUGAGUUUCUGUAGGUAUUUUUUUUUCAAGAUUAAACAUUUGAAGCCUUACAAAAAGAAAUAUGUACAUCAUCUAUUUACAAUUUAGAGGAACACUUAAAAAACCUAUAACAAACCUUUUAUUUUUUUUAAUUUAUCAAGUCUAUGGAAAAUUGUUUCCUAAAAAAUUUCUACCGUAUACCACAAAAAUAAAUAAAAAGAUGCAAACACUAGUUUUGAACAAAGUUUUGCUGUGAGCUUUUUUCUUUUUUGGCAUGUCAGUUAUUUUAAAUUUUUUUAACCCUUUGGUUUGACAGCAUGGCAUUACAGUUUUAAUAGCUGUGAUCCAAAAUGUCCCAUCUGCACCCAUGUGAUGACUUUUGAGAACUGUACAAACUUGAUCUAUCCUCACCCCACCCACCCCCUGUACCAAAGCCAUGCCUAAAAGAAGGAAUCUCAUUCCUUAUUCUGAACUUGGGAUCAAAGAGUGGAUCAGUUCUCAAAAUCUUUCAAUCCUAUGAGAUUAUAGCUGCAAUUCUAUGUCACCCAAGUGGGAAUGUGCAACUCAAGAAGACUUGAAUCAAGAUAGACAAGAUAAGCAAUAGCACUUAGACUUAUGUACCGCUUCACAGUGCUUCACAGCCCUCUCUAGGGGGUUUACAGAGUCAGCCUCUUGCCCCCAACAAUCCUCAUUUUACCGACCUCGGAAGGAUGGAAGGCUCAGUCAACCAUGAGCCAGUGAGAAUCGAACUGCUGGCAGUCGGCAGAAUUAUCCUGCAAUGCUGAAUUCUAAUCACUGUGCCACCACGGAUAGAAAGAUUGGGUUACACCGGAGUUUAACAGACUGAAGCUAAGCCAAAACCAAAAGAGCCACAUUCACACAACCCAUGUAAUCUAUUUGGUUUUGGCUCAGCCAUUCUGUUUUAUCAUAUGGUUGGGAAUGUUCUACUAACGCAAGCUGAAUGUUCUAUUGUCUUCUGAUCUGGAACAGCUUGUUCCAGCUGGAACAUCAGGAAGGAGAAGAAUUAGUUUAAAAGCAGCCUCAAUCCUAAGGAUCCUUUCACAAGAUCCACCUGAAUCGCUUAUUUAUGAUCAAAACUCUUUAACUAUAUUGUGCAGUCGGGCUUUCUCCCUUUCCACUCUUCAUCCUACACUAGGAACCAAACCAAACAUUUGGACCAACAAAGGGUAAAGCUUACAAUUUGAGGAUUUCUCACUCUUUCUGAAGAAAGCUGAACAAAAUAUCAAAUGAUUAUCAAAACGAUGCAAAAGUCAUGCAGAUGAGUGCUAACUUUUUCCUACGAAACCUAGGAUUUUGGGCUCUUCUUCAGGAAGGUUUCAGCAAUGUGACUCAACAGGGUUGGUCAAUACUCCAUGUCAAAUAACUUUCAACCUCAAAAUAUCUUCUAGAAUGAAAUUUGGGCAUUGUUUUUUUUUUAAAGAGAAUAACAGGGUUUCCUCAGUAGAAGCAGAGGGAUGGAUGAAAAAUGCAAAACAUCCCUCUCUACCUUGUGGACUUUGUCCACAGAAAAGAGCUCCAAUGCUCCACUCAAAAUGUUCAAUGUUGCCAGAAGUGCAAUUAAAAAUUUAGAAAGCAGCCACUCUGAUUGUCCUCUCUCAAAACUUGCCUUACUGUUUUUCAGGCGCGCAUGGGCCUAUCUGG